CCCCUUUCCUGUCUCCGUGAGACACUUCUUACAUGCUGUUACUUGCGCCGCGCUUCUUCACAGCAAGUGGAUGAGCGCCGGAGGAGCAGCCUAAAUGAAGCCACAGGAACACCGCGUGAGAUGCGGCUCGGCUCGACCCCCUUUUACGCACGGCAGAAGAUGUGACUUGCUUCGAUUGUGUCUGAAGAAGGCUGCUGGUAACUGAUCCCGGUGUGUUCCCCUGUCAGACGGAGAGCAUAAAGUUAGCCUCAGACGUUUAUACCUCCGCAAAAAUCAUGGGGAAGAAGAACUUGCCUGCGCGAUGGAGACUUCCAGCGUUGGUCAUGUGGCUCAUCCUCCUUUGCGCACAGGAUGCACUCGCCAAAACUCUCCAGUGUAAAGAGAAUCAGUACCUUAAAGACUCCAAGUGUUGUGACAAAUGUCGACCAGGUAAUUACACAUACAAAAAAUAACAAUAAAUAAUGUGUACAAGAAUGGAACAGGGGGAAAAUAUAUAUAAAUAUUAAAAAAAGAGAGGGAAGGGAUGUUAUGACUAAAACAUGAUUCUGCAAAGCACACUUAGGGCUUGAAUUUGAUGACAUUCCAUACAGUUUAUAAAUAAACACAUCUCCCUUUCUGAUUCUGCUUUUUUUUAAUUUUAUUUUUUAGGUUACUAUGUGUACUCUCACUGUACUGAUUCUCAGCGGACUAAAUGUGUCAAAUGCAAUCGUGAUGAAUAUCAGCCUGUCUGGACAGAAGAAAUGCAGUGCGUUCAGCAGAAGUUCUGUGAUCCAGGUAAGGGUUUUAUGGUGAAUAAAGAGAACCCUGUGGCUGAGGAACCAUGCCGCUGUAGGCCCAACUUACAGUGUUACCACAUCAAUUGUGAAUUCUGCGAAAAACUACCCACCUGUAACCCUGGUUCUGGCCUCGAAGAUGACCCCGGUGAGGUUUUCCAACAAGAAUCAAAGUUUAAUGGAAUUACCACAAAGAGAUGUCUUUCAGAAAUAAUAACUGAGAAUCUGUUUGCUUCCCUUCAGGCUCGACUAAUGGAAGAAAGAUCUGCACUCCAUGCAAUAGCGGCUUUUUCUCCGCUCAUCGUAAUUCUGAGCAAUGCAAAGAGUGGACCAAUUGUAAGGCAGAGGGAAGAAGUGAGACGCAGCCGGGCAGCAGCCGGGCGGAUGCAGUGUGUGGACCUCCUGACCCCGAAUCUGAAGAGGACCAGAAUUCAACAGGAGACUUUGGCCCCUCUUUACCACAGUGCACCAGCAGGUGGAGGAAUUGAAGCAGCUCCUGGAGAUCCCAGAUGUUUCCCGUGUCAAGAGACUAAACUCGUCUGUCAAGACCCCCACAGUCCUGAGAAUGAGCCCCUCCGCCCAUCCGCCUCCAUCGGUGCCAGCGCCUGCCUGCUGUUACCAGAGCAACCAACAGAAAAAGGAGGGAUGGAGGAAAAGACGGCUGCAGAGACUCAGAGCGAGGGAUCUGGAGAACCAGAAGAGGUGUCAGAAGAAGACUUUUCAAGUGUCUCUCCACUUUUGGCAGGUUCCUGUGUGUGUGUCAUUCCAGUCUGUGAGCCACUGGAAGUAGGGGAGAAUGAGGACUGUAGCCAGGCUGUGAGUCCUGGGAUGACAGGAACCUGCUUGUGUGGGGCUCUGGAAGAUGGAAACGAGGACAGAAGCAAAAGGCUGCGAGAAAGGGCCAAUGGAAGUCAAGAAAAGAUGGCUUUGACCACAAGUGAGACGUGUGAGGUUCCUCUGACCUCCUGUGGGGUUCCACCAUCCAGUCCUCCUGAACGCUGUCUGCCAGCCUCCCAGGCUCAGGUGAUGGAGCAGCCCAGAUCUGACCUGACGGACGGAUCACCGGUAAAAACAGUGGAAUUAUACACACAGACAAGUUUACACUCCACCUUUAAAGGAAAUAGCACAACCUCCACUGUGACUUUAGCCAGCCCCUCAUUAACUUCUGCAUCGGUUGGAGAUCUUUACCUGGAAAAGCCGCCUGAGUCCUCAAGCGCAGAUCAAAGCCUGGGACCUUCCUGGAGGAAUAGCAGGGAGAAAAGGUUUCCUCUGGGAGACUCGGAACUGGAAUGUUCACCAGAGAGUCUCCACAGUCAGCUGGCUGAACCAACUCCUACCUCAGGUCUUGUGUCUGGAAACAACAAUACUACCUUCAUCUCCAGCGGUCAGGUGAUGAAUUUCAGCGGUGAUGUCAUUGUCGUGUGUGUCAGCCAAACAUCUCAUGACGGUGACGAGGAGAGGCAGGGUGACGCUAUUGGGAGCCCUGUGCAGGAGGAGUCUAGCCAAACGGCGCAGUUUUUCCAGAGCAGGUGUCGAUCACAAGGGAACUACACUACCCAUAACACCUUGCAAGAACUGACAAUGCCAAUGAUGCAGGGAAAGUAAAACAAAAUAGUGGAGGACACCAACCAUCUCUGCAGCUGUUGGACAAACUUGCACUACUGAACAUUUUGAUGGUAACAUCAGUGCUGCAGCUCCCAGUGAGAUUGGAGUGAUUCAUAUAUGAAAUUUCACAAAGAUUCUUCAGUGGAAUUUCUUCUGGAAGUUGUUUUUCUAAAUACAUUGAAUGGAUCUUGCCUGACAUUUAUUUCCAGCUGAAAGCUACAGUGGAAACUCCCUUUUGAGACCAUUUUGGGGAAUUUUGAAUUGUUAUAGAAUUUGGGUUCAGACUGGAAGAGCAAAACAUUUGUUGCUCAGACUCAGUUGUAAAAUGUGUAUUUCAUUUUUUACUUUUGACUAAAAAAGUCCACCUUUUGGAUUUAUUCACUUUAAUGUUAUGUCUGGAUAAAUUUAAGACUUUUUUCCUACGGUUUUUCAGUGUUUAAAGAAAUCAACUUACUUUUUCCAGUAAAAUAUUGUUGAAUUGAUUUAAAAGUUGUUUAAAAUUCAAAUGGAUUUUUUAACAUUUUACUGAAUCUUUGCUUAUUUUAUAUGCGCAUGAUUUAACUGAGGCAAACAAAGUACAUCAAGUUUUGAUGUGAGGCUUGUUUAGCUAUUACAUAGACUGUACAUAGACUUUUUAUAAGACCACAAAUGCGGUUUUGGUCAAAAAAUAAAAUGCUAUGCAUUUGAUAAGCUACCUUAUUA
rnacentral:lncRNA from 1 species